UCCUGCUUUGAGCAGGGGCUUGGACUAGAUGACCUCCUGAGGUCCCUUCCCACCCUGAUCUUCUCUGAUUCGAGCAAUUCCCGGUGUAGAGAGAACUUGAUUUCUUUUUCUUUCUGGCCUGGCAGCUACUGAAACUCAAAACUUUAGGGGCGGAUGGGAAGUUUGUUUAUCUAUUCGCUUCGGCAAUGUCUGUGUUAGGCAGGUCUGGGUUCUGUCCCAACCAUGGAGCCUUUGGAGGGAAGUGGGGGCGGGGGGGAAGCAAAAUAAACUUUUUUUAAUUUAAAAAGCAAAACCGGUGUCCCAGUUUCGAGAGAACCCAGGGCAGAAACAAGAGGCAAAUUACCCGGGCACCCCACUGUCUUCAGGUGGGAUUUCAUUAUUCCCACACGGGGGCAUUUUUGUUUUUUUUUAAUGAAGCCAAAAUUGAGGCUGUUUUCUUCAAAGCUCCAGUUUUCUCCCGGCUGCGGGAUUAUAGCCGGGGACGCAGGAAAGCCCUCCGGAGACUCCUGGCUCCGUCUGCCCUGGAAGGGAACCUCUCAGCUGGCAAGACCGCCCCGCCGCUCUGCAUUUCAGCUCAAACGAAGUCACUCUGGACUGACACCAAGAUAAGGCAGGAAGCUUCUCUUGAUGGAUGGCUCAACCUAGAACGUUAACCCAGUGUGGAUCUAUGUCUCCUUCUACUGGCUGGACCAGGUGGAGGAGUUAUUAGGAGAGGCAACAAGCUGGAAAAACUGAUCCACAGACAAGCACAGGUGUUCCUUCCUCUGGAGUAGUGCACAGCCUCCCAAGGGAAGAUAACUUUUCCAAACCCUCUUUGCAUUGCCAAC